GCUACAUAAACACAAAGUGGGACGUAAUUAUGAAGUGGAAGGAAAACGACAUGAACUUUUCUAUUUUGGCUACAAAUUAAACACUGAAAAGUGUAAUCAGCCCUCCUUUCCCUGAAGCAUCAGAAAUCUUCUAAGGAAAAACAAAACGUUGCGUGGAGCAUGAAGCACAAAUGAAUGGAUUUCAGAGGUUGGUGGAGCUGAUGCUGCAUUUGGUGUGCAAGUCUCUUAAGAAAUUCACGUUGCAAAAAGCCAUGAAGGGAGCACAGCACACAUGUGAAAGCAUGUGAUUUGGCCAGUUAAAGACAGAAAACAUUUUAGUAAAAAAGUCCAACAGAUCCUAAAACUGGACAUGUUUGCUUUGGUGGUAGAAUCAUCAUGCUUGAAGUCCCAUACUAUAACACAGGU